GGGGCAGGCUUUAAACGUAAUUACUGGGCGUACCUGGUGCCUAUGUGGAUGAUUACGUUAUCUGUGAGAUUCCUGGCCUUAACCUGGGACUGGGGCAUACUAAUGGUUGACUCGAGUAUGGGAGAGGGUAGUGGAAUUUCCGGUGUAGCGGUGAAAUGCGUAGAGAUCGGAAGGACCACCCGUGGCGAAUGCGGCUACCUGGCCUAAGACUGACACUGAUGCACGAAAGCGUGGGGAGCACACCGAUUAGAUACCCUGGUAGUCCACGCUGUUAACUAUGUCAACUAGCUGUUGGUUAUAUGAAAAUAAUUAUUGGUGCAGCAAAAGCAAUAAGUUGACCGCCUGGGGAGUACGUUCGCUAGAGUUAAAUCUAUAGGAAUUUGACUGGGGCGCGCACAAGCAGCGGAGCUGUGGUUCAAAUUCGUCGUCACGCGGAAUCCCUACUCUACCUUGACUACAGUGAAUUUUUGCGAAAUGGAUUAAUAGCUUCCGGAACACUGCUACAGGUGCUGCCUGGCUGUCGUCAGCUCUUGUCGUACAAAUUCCGUUAACUCACGUAACGAACGCAACGCUAUCCUUACUUUCCACGAUUUAUGGUGGGGACUCUAAGGAGACUGCCGUCACAACCCUAAAGAAGCGAAAAGAAGUCAAAUUAUCUAGGCCUUACGGGUUGGCUAC
rnacentral:rRNA from 1 species